UACAGAGGUCUCAAGCGUUGUUCGGAAUCACUGGGCGUAAAGGGUGCGUAGGUUGUUCCUUAAGUCGGGUGUGAAAGACCGGGGCUCAACCCCGGAACUGCAUCCGAUACUGCGUGGCUAGAGGUAGGUAGGGGAGAUCGGAAUUCCUGGUGUAGCGGUGAAAUGCGCAGAUAUCAGGAGGAACACCGGUGGCGAAGGCGGAUCUCUGGGCCUUACCUGACGCUCAGGCACGAAAGCUAGGGGAGCGAACAGG
rnacentral:rRNA from 1 species